rnacentral:rRNA from 1 species
GUGGGGAAUCUUAGACAAUGGGCGCAAGCCUGAUCUAGCCAUGCCGCGUGAGCGAUGAAGGCCUUAGGGUUGUAAAGCUCUUUCGUGGGGGAAGAUAAUGACUGUACCCCAAGAAGAAGCCCCGGCUAACUCCGUGCCAGCAGCCGCGGUAAUACGGAGGGGGCUAGCGUUGUUCGGAAUUACUGGGCGUAAAGCGCACGUAGGCGGACUGGAAAGUCAGGGGUGAAAUCCCGGGGCUCAACCCCGGAACUGCCUUUGAAACUCCCAGUCUUGAGUUCGAGAGAGGUGAGUGGAAUUCCGAGUGUAGAGGUGAAAUUCGUAGAUAUUCGGAGGAACGCCAGUGGCGAAGGCGGCUCACUGGCUCGAUACUGACGCUGAGGUGCGAAAGCGUGGGGAGCAAACAGGAUUAGAUACCCGAGUAGUCC